UCGGCUGCUGGAGGCGGGCGCCUGGUUCGCCGGCGUCUGCGGCACGCUGGGGAAAUUCGCUAACGACUUUUCCCUGCUGUUGCAGACCGAAGUGGCUGAG
rnacentral:tRNA from 1 species